CUUAUUCAUCUUAUAGUCUCAAUUACAACUCUUUUUACUAAACAAAAUCAAAAUCAAUAUUUUAUAAUACUACUUAAAAAUCUCAUUUUAUUCCCACGCAUCGCGCAUGUCUCAACCUAGUAUUAUAUAAAAAUUGUUACAACAUAAAGACUACCAUUAAUCAUCCUAAGGCCCAAAUGAUCCACACUCUCCAAAUCAAAUAUUUAACUUCCCUCAAAACACUCUAACACAAGA
rnacentral:lncRNA from 1 species